CACGACCUUACUUGAACAGGAUCUGUUCUAUAGGCUCGUACCUCUGUAUCCUUGAGUUCUAAGGAGACAGGAACAUAAGUCUGGUUGAUGAGACAUGACCGUGCGAUCAGAGCGUGAUUAACGGCUCUGGUGAGACCUGUAUUGGACUCAUCAAGCUGUAGAGGAUCGUUCCCGAUGUUGGUUCCGACACUGGGGUGAUCGCAUGGUUGUCUGACAGACUCUCCCAAUCUUUUUUCUCUUUUUACCAGAAUCCCGGCAGCCAUGGCCGCCGAAAUCGCGUCUUCUCCGUUGCAACCUCUGAUGUCUUCAUUGUCGAAACCUAAGCCAGCAUGUCAGUCCUCCUUCGUUCGACUCUCACCAUUGGAGCCGUCGCAGUCCUCAAAGGCAAUUCCCCGGUGGAGGGCGUUGUCACGUUAACCCUAGAAGAAGAGAGGGUGAUGUCAGGAUUUUUCGACUACAGGUCCUACGACGGUGAAAGUUUGUGUCACCGGCAAAUUAAAUGAGUGUGGGUGAAGCACCAUUUGUAGAUGACCAGGUACCACUCUGAAAUUGAAAUGAUACCACUGAGUGGGUCUAAUGCCGUUGUGGGAAGAGCUUUUGUGGUUCAUGAGCUGGAGGAUGAUCUUGGAAAGGGAGGACAUGAACAUAGCCUUACCACGGGGAAUGCAGGUGCAAGAUUGGCCUGUGGUGUGGUUGGUUCGACUCCUGUUCAAUGAGAGCCCCUAGUUCGAAACCAAUCUGAUAUCCAGCUACGGAUUCUUCUUUCUUCCUUUUACAAGUGCUAUUAAGAGUUAAAUAGUCUUUUUGAAGUCAAGAGGAUGCUGUCGGGGUAGUUGAGAAGAAAGUGUUGAGCCAAAUUGUAGAAUUUGAGGGACAUUACCAUGUUUGUAGGUACUUCCCUCAAUAAAUGUGAGGACAGAUGUUUGGGUUUUGAAGACCUUAUUCUUGGCUUUUAUAUGCAUUACUGUGUUGGAUCAGGAAUGCUAAGGAAUAAACUUAGCUUCGAUUAAAAGAUCGAAAUCCUUGGAUAUGGAGAAAAGUGUAAUAUUUAUGGUGUUUUAAGGUUAAUAAAUUGUGUGAAAA